UGUGUUACUUGAUAGAGAGGGCUCACAAAGUGACUAUAACAUGGAAUAUGUAUUCUCCAGAAUCCCACAAGGCCUAGGAAAGCUUGUGUUUUCUUUCAUGUUAGCUGGUGGAGACACAGUUGCUAUCUUGUUGAUCACAUCCAUAGGCACACGACAAUCUCCAUCCU